rnacentral:misc_RNA from 1 species
UAAAGAUAAAUCUUUCCAAACCGAAAGAUCUUUUCCUUUGUGCUGGCUUUGAACCAAUGUAAUUUUAGGACUUUAAAAUGGUUUCGAUUUUGUAAAAAGAGCGAGCCGGUCCCAAAAAACAUUAUCUCAUCCUUAUGAAAAUUUUUCUGAACUUACAAGUGAUUUUAAUAAUCUGUUUAAAA